rnacentral:rRNA from 1 species
AUUGAACGCUGGCGGCAGGCCUAACACAUGCAAGUCGAGCGGAUGAAGGGAGCUUGCUCCUGGAUUCAGCGGCGGACGGGUGAGUAAUGCCUAGGAAUCUGCCUGGUAGUGGGGGAUAACGUCCGGAAACGGGCGCUAAUACCGCAUACGUCCUGAGGGAGAAAGUGGGGGAUCUUCGGACCUCACGCUCUCAGAUGAGCCUAGGUCGGAUUAGCUAGUUGGUGGGGUAAAGGCCUACCAAGGCGACGAUCCGUAACUGGUCUGAGAGGAUGAUCAGUCACACUGGAACCGAGGCAACGGCCAGGCUCCUAAGGGAAGGAGCAGGGGGGAAAUUUGGGCAAUGGGGGGAAAGCUGGUCCAAGCAUGGCGCGUGGGGUGAAGAAGGCCUCGGGGUGGAAAGCACUUUAAGUUGGGAGGAAGAGCAGUAAGUUAAUACCAUGCUGUUUUGACGGUACCAGCAGAAUAAGCACCGGCUAACUUCGUG